rnacentral:ncRNA from 1 species
AGCAUCUGUAGGGAGUUUCCAUGCUUUGCACAGUUCUACUCAAGAAUGAUCUUUUUUUAACUUACCCAGUGAGACAGAAGGGUAAGCCUCAAGGGCAGCUCUCGCUUCUGGCACCAAGUGGCUGGCGCCUGCUGGCUGCAACCCACUCUGGGGACAGUGGCAGAUGGGGAGUUUGACUGGGGUGGUACAUCUGUCAAAGUGUAACACAGGUGUCCUAAGGUGAGCUCAGGGACGACGGAAACCUCUAGUGGAACAGAAGGGCAAAAGCUCGCUUGAUCUUGAUUUUAAGUAUGAACACAGACCAUGAAAGUGAGGCCUCACAAUCCUUCUGGCUUUUUGGGUUUUAACCAGGAGGUGUCAGAAAAGUUAUCACAGGGAUACCUGGUUUGUAGUGGCCAAAUGUUCAUAGCAAUGUCGCUUUUUGAUCCUUCAGUGUCAGCUCCACCUAUCAUUGUGAAGUAGAAUGCACUGGAUUGUUCACCCACUAAUAGAGAACGUGAGCUGAGUUCAGAUUGUCGUGAGACAGGUUAGUUUUACCCUAUGGAUGAUGUGUUCUUGCAAUAGUAAUCCUAUUCAGUAUGAGAGGAACUGCACGUUCAGACCCCUAGUGCAUGUGCUUGGCUGAGGAGCCACUAGCGUGAGGCUACCAUCUGAGGACUUAUGACUGAAUACCUUCAAGUCAGAAUCCCAUCUAGAUGGAGUGAUACCACAGCACCAAUAUUUAUUUAUUUUUUUUAUCAGGAAUAGUGUGGCCAGCAGGAGCAGGGAAGUGAUCAUGUCCCUGUACUCGGCUUUGGUGAGGCCACAUCUCAUGUUCUGUGUCCAGUUUUGGGCCCCUCGCUACAAGAGGGACAUUUUGGUCCUGGAGAGGGUACAGAGGCAGGAUACCACGCUGGUAAAGGCCUUAGAACAUAAGUUUU